rnacentral:rRNA from 1 species
UACGAAGGUCCCAAGCGUUAUCCGGAUUUAUUGGGUUUAAAGGGUGCGUAGGCGGCUUAUUAAGUCAGUGGUGAAAGCUCCAUGCUUAACGUGGAAAUUGCCAUUGAUACUGAUGAGCUUGAGUAGAUUUGAAGUGGGCGGAAUGUGUCGUGUAGCGGUGAAAUGCUUAGAUAUGACACAGAACACCGAUUGCGUAGGCAGCUCACUAAACUCUUACUGACGCUGGGGCACGAAAGCAUGGGGAUCAAACAGG